rnacentral:rRNA from 1 species
UACAGAGGGGGCCAGCGUUAUUCGGAAUUAUUGGGCGUAAAGGGCGCGUAGGCGGCCAUGCGUGUCUUCCGUGAAAUCCCUCGGCUUAACUGAGGACGUGCGGAAGAAACUGCAAGGCUUGAGUCCGGGAGAGGGGGGGUGGAAUUCCCAGUGUAGCAGUGAAAUGCGUAGAUAUUGGGAGGAACACCGGUGGCGAAGGCGGCCCCCUGGACCGGUACUGACGCUGAGGCGCGAAAGCGGUGGGUAGCAAACGGG